GACGAACGCUGGCGGCGCGCUUAACACAUGCAAGUCGAACGGAAAGGCCUGCUUUCCCUUGUGGAUUGCGGGUACUCGAGUGGCGAACGGGUGAGUAACACGUGAGUGAUCUGCCCCCAACUUGGGUAUAAGCCUGGGAAACUGGGUCUAAUUCCCGAUAGGACUGCAGGGUGGUGCCUGUGGUGGAAAACGAUUUUCUAGUGGUUGGGGAUGAGCUCGCGGCCUAUCAGCUUGUUGGUGGGGUAAUGGCCUACCAAGGCGGCGACGGGUAGCCGGCCUGGGAGAGUGGGCGGCCGCAUUGGGACUGAGAUACGGCCCAGACUCCUACGGGCGGAAGCAGUGGGGAAUAAUGCACGAUGGGCGGAAGCCUGAUGCAGCGACGCCGAGUGGGGAAUGACGGGCUUCGGGUUGUAACCUCCUUUCGACCGCGAGGAAGCCACCUGGUUGGAAGGGUGGUGACGGUAGUGGUAGAAGAAGCACCGGCUAACUACGUG
rnacentral:rRNA from 1 species